CUUAAAUAGAAAGUCUGUUCGACUUUUAAACAAUUACAUGAUUUGAGUUCAAACCGGUGUAAGCCAGGUUGGUUUCUAUCUUCUUUAACUUUUUCUUAGUACGAAAGGACCAGAAAAUAUUUUAAAUCUUUUUGGCAGACAAUUGCAUUAGAUUUAGAUUCUAAUUAUCCUAAAUUUAUUUCUACAAUUAAUUCUUUA
rnacentral:misc_RNA from 1 species